UUUCUUUGGCAGCACAUAUACUAAAAUUGGAACGAUACAGAGAAGAUUAGCAUGGCCCCAGCGCAAGGAUGACACACAAGUAUUUUCUUUCUGUAUUUCUUUUU